CAGCUUACUUAUUCAUCAUUUCCUCAAGAUUCUGGUGCUGGAGAAGGCAGUUGGGCAGGCCUUUGCUUCAGUCCAAGUCAAUGGUCCAUGGUGAUUGCUUUCUUUAUUGCACUAAUUUUGUGUGUGUUGAUAUAUACUCUGGCCAUGGUGAAUAUCAUUUCAAUAUCUAUUGAACCAGCGAGAGAUUGAAACCAUCGCAACAGAUGGCUAAGUGUAUUAUUACGUACUGCAUUUUCUCCACGCUCAAGGAGAUGACUGUGUCCACUGUUGAUAGUGAAAUCAUUAAACUAAGUUGAAUUCCCAUUUCAAAACUCUACAGUUGCUUUAUGCUUUUGAACCAUCAAUAAAUUUAUGAUUUUGUGCUUCGGAUAUUAUGGUUUUUGUUCAAUGGGAUUAGAAACUUGGAAUUUUGGACAAAACUACAGCUGUGAGAACUUGACUGGAAGUUCUUUAAUGACACUGAUUUUGCAAUGACAACAUUGUUUCUGAACAUCAUUGGUAUAGAAUUUUAGCAGAUGACAUAUUUCAGAUUUAUCCCUGUUGCUUGCUUUACAUUCAGCUCCUUCAAACAUAAAUGAUUGUCUCUAUUACCUGUCUGAACAUUCUGUGCCUUUAUCAUCUCUAGUUCCAGGCAGUCAUAGCACGUAGCUUUUACACAAAGCUUUGAUGUUUAUGACCAAGACAUCCAUGAGCGCACUUUACACGCGUUAGUAGCAGUAAAGUUGUUCUUUCUGGUAUCGUGUUAAAUACACAGUCAGAAAAAAAUGUAUUGUAUUUUUCAUAAUUUAAAGAAGAGAGUGGCGGGAUCUGUGAUUUAGGGAUGGUAGAGAUUGUGCUGGCUGGAGUUCAUCUGGUUGUUAAGGGAUUUGUUUUCUAAAAUACACAGUUACCAAAAUAUAGAGUGAUUUAUUGAAUAGACCGAAGGGAACACCUUCCUUCAGUCUAAAAUACAUCAAUGUCCAGCAUAGAACAUCUCACCCUUUAAAAUUUCUCUGUCCUUCAGAAUUCCUGAAUUUUUUUCUACUUCUUCAAGUAACUUCUUUAUCCUGAAUAUUGUGGUAUCUUUAAUUCAUUUAUUCACUGAUUUGGCUAUGUUGCAAGCUCUGCUACCCAUCCUCAUUGAACUUCAUGGAGAAUUCAGACCAUGGAAGUGGAAAUUUUAUAUUAGCCGUUGCUGAGGGCUGCCAGAUAACUGGACUUGCGUUCUCAUUGCUUGACCCGGAUUACAUUUGUAUCCAAGGGGUUGAUUAUGAGUGCUCCAACUAGGAUGUAAUGGGAGGUUGGUGUGCUUCUGCUAGCGUCUUCUUGGCUGAUAAAAAGAGUGAAAUAAACAUGAUAGCAGAUCCUGAAAAAGGGAGUGAAUAAGCAUGGUGGUAGAUCCUUGAAAAUGGAUAUCCUCAGAGUUGUUCAGAUAUGUUCUCAUCUUUCGGAUUGGACGCUGCUGCUUGGGCAUCAGGAUUUUUAAGCAGCAAUCCUUCUUACCAGUUAUUUCAAGCAGUCGUUGAUCCUCCAGUCAAGCCACCAAUUGACUUCUUCGAGAAGUUAAAAAUAUAUGAGCAACUCCUACCACCAAAGGUGAGUAU